rnacentral:RNase_P_RNA from 1 species
UGUCGCUGUUCCGAGUAAUCGGAAUGGAGGAAAGUCCGGACUGCACAGAGCACCGUGCCUUGGGAAACCGAGGGUGAUGGCCCUGCCAUCAGCAGCAAGUGCCACAGAAAAUAAACCGCCCCGUGUAUUCGGGGUAAGGGUGAAAACGUGAGGUAAAAGCUCACGCGUUUCUCGAGCAAUCGGGAUCUGGGUAAACCUCGCGGGCUGCAAGACCAUGUAAACCCACGUUUGAAGGCUGCUCGCCUGAUGUGGGAGGGUAGGUCGCGUAGAUAAAUGACAGGUAGCUGCCUCAAAAGCAGCCACAGAAUCUGGCUUACAGUUU